rnacentral:rRNA from 1 species
CGCGGCCUAUCAGCUUGUUGGUGGGGUGAUGGCCUACCAAGGCGACGACGGGUAGCCGGCCUGAGAGGGCGACCGGCCACACUGGGACUGAGACACGGCCCAGACUCCUACGGGAGGCAGCAGUGGGGAAUAUUGCACAAUGGGCGGAAGCCUGAUGCAGCGACGCCGCGUGAGGGAUGACGGCCUUCGGGUUGUAAACCUCUUUCAGCAGGGACGAAGCGAGAGUGACGGUACCUGCAGAAGAAGCGCCGGCCAACUACGUGCCAGCAGCCGCGGUAAGACGUAGGGCGCGAGCGUUGUCCGGAUUUAUUGGGCGUAAAGAGCUCGUAGGCGGCUUGUCGCGUCGUCCGUGAAAACCCACGGCUUAACUGUGGGCUUGCGGUCGAUACGGGCAGGCUGGAGUUCGGUAGGGGAGACUGGAAUUCCUGGUGUAGCGGUGAAAUGCGCAGAUAUCAGGAGGAACACCGGUGGCGAAGGCGGGUCUCUGGGCCGAUACUGACGCUGAGGAGCGAAAGCGUGGGGAGCGAACAGGAUUAGAUACCCUGGUAGUCCACGCUGUAAACGUUGGGCGCUAGGUGUGGGGGGCCUCUCCGGUUCUCUGUGCCGCAGCUAACGCAUUAAGCGCCCCGCCUGGGGAGUACG